GCUACAGGCUUAACACAUGCAAGUCGAGGGGCAGCAUGGUCUUAGCUUGCUAAGGCCGAUGGCGACCGGCGCACGGGUGAGUAACACGUAUCCAACCUGCCGUCUACUCUUGGACAGCCUUCUGAAAGGAAGAUUAAUACAAGAUGGCAUCAUGAGUCCGCAUGUUCACAUGAUUAAAGGUAUUCCGGUAGACGAUGGGGAUGCGUUCCAUUAGAUAGUAGGCGGGGUAACGGCCCACCUAGUCUUCGAUGGAUAGGGGUUCUGAGAGGAAGGUCCCCCACAUUGGAACUGAGACACGGUCCAAACUCCUACGGGAGGCAGCAGUGAGGAAUAUUGGUCAAUGGGCGAGAGCCUGAACCAGCCAAGUAGCGUGAAGGAUGACUGCCCUAUGGGUUGUAAACUUCUUUUAUAAAGGAAUAAAGUCGGGUAUGGAUACCCGUUUGCAUGUACUUUAUGAAUAAGGAUCGGCUAACUCCGUGCCAGCAGCCGCGGUAAUACGGAGGAUCCGAGCGUUAUCCGGAUUUAUUGGGUUUAGAGGGAGCGUAGAUGGAUGUUUAAGUCAGUUGUGAAAGUUUGCGGCUCAACCGUAAAAUUGCAGUUGAUACUGGAUAUCUUGAGUGCAGUUGAGGCAGGCGGAAUUCGUGGUGUAGCGGUGAAAUGCUUAGAUAUCACGAAGAACUCCGAUUGCGAAGGCAGCCUGCUAAGCUGCAACUGACAUUGAGGCUCGAAAGUGUGGGUAUCAAACAGGAUUAGAUACCCUGGUAGUCCACACGGUAAACGAUGAAUACUCGCUGUUUGCGAUAUACUGCAAGCGGCCAAGCGAAAGCGUUAAGUAUUCCACCUGGGGAGUACGCCGGCAACGGUGAAACUCAAAGGAAUUGACGGGGGCCCGCACAAGCGGAGGAACAUGUGGUUUAAUUCGAUGAUACGCGAGGAACCUUACCCGGGCUUAAAUUGCAGAUGAAUUACGGUGAAAGCCGUAAGCCGCAAGGCAUCUGUGAAGGUGCUGCAUGGUUGUCGUCAGCUCGUGCCGUGAGGUGUCGGCUUAAGUGCCAUAACGAGCGCAACCCUUGUUGUCAGUUACUAACAGGUUCCGCUGAGGACUCUGACAAGACUGCCAUCGUAAGAUGUGAGGAAGGUGGGGAUGACGUCAAAUCAGCACGGCCCUUACGUCCGGGGCUACACACGUGUUACAAUGGGGGGUACAGAGGGUCGCUACCACGCGAGUGGAUGCCAAUCCCCAAAACCUCUCUCAGUUCGGACUGGAGUCUGCAACCCGACUCCACGAAGCUGGAUUCGCUAGUAAUCGCGCAUCAGCCACGGCGCGGUGAAUACGUUCCCGGGCCUUGUACACACCGCCCGUCAAGCCAUGGGAGCCGGGGGUACCUGAAGUGCGUAACCGCGAGGAGCGCCCUAGGGUAAAACUGGUGACUGGGGCUAAGUCAUAACA
rnacentral:rRNA from 1 species